CUCUGUAUCCAUGUAUGUGUGUAUGUACAUGUGUGUAUAUAUGCACAUACACACACAUAUACAUACACAUACAUACAUACAUAUAUACAUACAGGAA
rnacentral:miRNA from 11 species